rnacentral:rRNA from 1 species
GACGAACGCUGGCGGCGUGCUUAACACAUGCAAGUCGAGCGGUAAGGCCCUUUCGGGGGUACACGAGCGGCGAACGGGUGAGUAACACGUGGGUGACCUGCCUUUAGCUCUGGGAUAAGCCUGGGAAACUAGGGUCUAAUACCGGAUAUGACUCCGCGGUGCAUGCUGUGGGGUGGAAAGCCUUGUGCGGCUGGAGAUGGGCCCGCGGCCUAUCAGCUUGUUGGUGGGGUGAUGGCCUACCAAGGCGACGACGGGUAGCCGGCCUGAGAGGGCGACCGGCCACACUGGGACUGAGACACGGCCCAGACUCCUACGGGAGGCAGCAGUGGGGAAUCUUGCGCAAUGGGCGAAAGCCUGACGCAGCGACGCCGCGUGAGGGAUGACG